rnacentral:lncRNA from 1 species
CAUGCUUUGGCUGUUGGCUCUUUGCCUCUUUGCGAUUGCAGCAGAUUGUCCCGCUAGGUAAAAUUGUGUCCACCAGGUGGCGGAGUGGCUGUUCGUGAGUGACGAAGCCGCCAUUUGCUUUUGAAACAGUGUACGGGAAUGUGUUGCUGCUCAAUGCGGUGUUCUUCGCUUUUACAUUUAAAAAAAUGAUAAAGUUGUUUCCACGCCUUUCGACCAAGCUGAAUCGAAAGUGAACAAUUUUAAAGCAAGUAAGUCAAUUGUGAUAGUUUUGACUUUUGGAAAAGUCCAUUUUCUAAUAUACGAAGAUUCAUCAAAAUUAAGGCAAAGUGCAGAAUAACAGGAAUAAAGUGAAAAGUUACAAAAAGUGAUACGAAAAGUAGCAGUAUAGGCGAGUAUAGGAUAUUUCGUCAAGAAUCUGGAACAAGGCACUGAUUCAGAAGAAUGUCAACUGUUAAGCUGCCUUCUCAUUAUACCUUGGGGAUUUCGUCUGUUGUGAUGUGUGAUGCUGCGGUGCUUUUUGGUGAAGACGAGAUGUAAAUUUGGAGGGGAGAAUAUUACGAGGAAACGUGAAAGGGUCGUGGCCGUCGUGCAGCCUACGGUCAACUAUUUUGUUCCAAAUUAUUGUAUUCUACUGAAUGUGCCAUCGAAAUGAUACAGGAGCCAUAAUUGUAUUGGACUUGCUAGAUCACCAACCCCAGCAUAGACCAAUCUCUCAUUUCAUCUUCUCGAGAUAAGAUUGGAUAACUGAUCUGUGGUUUCAUGUGUUCUAAACUCCAGCUUUGUAAAUUUGCAUGGCAGACUUUAUGAGAAGUCAUGUCCUUUCAAGAAAGUCAACAAGGUCCAUGUUUACUAACCUGUUGGCUGCUACCCUUGAAUCUCCCUUUUUACUUUCUUAAGUGAGCCAUCUUUAUUUGAGGGUAAUCCUUCGCUACCUGUCAUGGACUUCAUCCACUGAUGAAAACCGACGAGAGAAUGCUGCAAUCCAAGACUGAUAAAUUGUUUAAUCGUCGGAUUAAAUUAUAAGUGCAUAUCUGGGCUCCCUUCUUUUCUGUGGCCCCGUUUCCCUAACUAACCACUAACCAACGCCCGCCGAUGGUCACUCACCCGCUGUGAAACCAGGAGGAGGG